CGGAGCCGUGGCACGGAGCGCGGCAGGGCCGGGCACACACUGGCAGCGCGGCGGCCGCACCGCGGUGCCCACACGGGAUCCCCCCGGGCCGGAGACCAGAGCGGCCCCAGGGCAGCGCGGCCACCCGCCCGGCCCCCGCGCCGCCUCUGAGCGCCGGACAAACCGCCGCCCGCCCCUCGGCCGCUCCGCGCCCGCCCCUCGGCCGCUCCCCGCCCCGUUGCGAAGGAAGCGGCGUCUCCGGUUGCUACGAUGGCGGCGGCGCGGCCGGGUCGUGCCGAGAGGCGGCCCAGAGCUCGGCACUGACCUGCGGUGCAGGGCGGCGGGCCCGGGCCGCUGGAUGGAGCCCAGCGAGGGGCGCGGCCGGGCGGCGCGGGGGCCAAGCCGGCCUGGUGUCCCGCAGGACUGCGCGGGGGGCAGGCGGACCGCUGCUGCGGACAGAGCUUUAACAUUUCAUUUUGAACAGGAUUUAGAAGCAGAACGUCGGGCGUUGAAAGAAGAUCAAAAAAUAUGUCGGACCAGGGCACAGAAAUAUUCGAUAGAGACAAACAGAAGGAGGAGAGCCUUUGAAGAAAAACAGAAACGAGAAGAAGAAAAAGAACAAAGAUUUCGAGAACGAGUUCUGCAGCAGAGGAAAAUUAAACUCCAGGAAGCAACUGAUAAGUUCCAGCGGGCUCAUCUGCCUUCUUCUCAGCACAAGCAGAUAGUCCAGACAAAGGCAGCUUCUCAGUUAGAAGAAGCUCUUGAAAGAAUUAAAGGAUCAGUUUUAACACCAGGACUGUACUUGCCCAGCAGAAACAAAACCAACUUCAGAACCACAGAUGGCACUUCAUCCUCAUCAGCAUCUAGAAAAGGUUCUUGCCAUCAGAAGCAGAUUUCAGCAACGGUUGACUGGGAUAAAGCAAUACAAGAGAGCGGUAGAACAUACAUGGAUGGUAAUCAACUUCUCUUCCAGAAAAAUCUGAAAGAAAUGCAACUACUCCUUGAAAAACAGCAUCUCAGCAACUUGGAGAAUUUUCAUCAAGAAGUCAAGAAAACACAUGAUUCAGACAGCUUGUCAAGCCUUGACAGUCUUGAGGCUGGAGAACAAAAUGGAAAUUACACAACACCGAGUGAAUCAUCUUUGGCUGCACAGUGUGACUGUGCCCUGUACAAUCCAGAAAGAUCGCAGACUAGGAAUAAUCGUUUGCUUUAUACAGCUCAAAGUACUUCUAAAAAUGUGCAUCUAAAUAAUUGCCUGAGAAAUGCAGAUUCACAAAACAACCACAACUUACCUAUUCAUGAUCUUUUAGAUAAACAUAAUGUGCUAACUCCUGCCGAGCAUGUGCACAAUUCAGAAGAGGAAUCAUCUGCUUCCCACAAAUCUGGAAAAAUACCUGCAGAGUUCUUCACCUCUACUAAGCAAGAAAGCUCUAUAAACAAUGCAUUUCAUUUUCUGCAAAAGAUAAAUGAAGAAAGAAGCCGGUCAUUUUCUGGAAUUGUUAGCACACCAGCCACUGGUCAUCCUGUUUUCAAUCCUAGCAAAGCCUGGGCCAGCCCUGACUUUAUUCCAGGAGAAAAAGUUCAGGAUCUGAUGCAAGAUCAGAGUUUUAAAAUGACCCUGCAAAAAAGAACUAUAUCUGUGCAAACCCCCAGUCAACCUAUUGCAACAUCUAUAGUUUUAUUUCCUAAUCAGGGAUGUUCCACUGACAUUCCCAGCCCAGCUGAUACGUUACCAAAGGACAAAAACAUCAGUACAGAGCUUUUAAAAAAUAUCUCAGGAAAAAAGACUGAAACGAAAGAAGAAAAUAUUAAAUGUGUUGAUGAUAUUAAUCCAGGAUCAUCUUUAUUUCAGGACAUACCAAAUACCUCAGUUCUGUGUGAUUUUAAGCAGCAGAAUAACAGAGAAGAAGAAAAGGGAAAUAUGGCAGAAACCAUGUCACUCGUGUCCGAUACAGAGUUAAAUUCUAGCACUCCUGCGCAGCACAAAACCCUGAAAAACAAUAUUCUUGAAAGAAAAAGAGCAAGAUUAUUCACAAGUAUCUUAAAGAAAGAAACUAAGUAUGAACCCAGUCAUUUCAAAGCUGUGGUUAUGAACCACGAGAUCAUUUCUGGAACUCGACCCAUGUCUUCUAUCAGAGACAGCUUAGAACUGGCAAGAAUAAAAAAGAAAUGUGCAGAAAAUGAAAAAUACAAUAGGAAGCUAAGAUGGUGUGAUCAAAUUAACCAGGUAAUAGUAGAAACUAAUGAAAAAUGCUAUGAGAAAAACACCAGUGAAAUAUCUUCUGCACAGCUGCAAUAUGUUCAAACUACAAAUAAUGCUCCUAAGACUAAUUUAAGUAUUCUUGCUCAACCUUCAAACCCCAAGUUCAUAAAAAAUCAUCAGGAAAACUCUCAUAUAUCAAAACCAAAUGUUAAUACUGAAGAAUCAAAUAAAGACUGCACGUCUGUGAAUCUGUUUAUGUCUACUGGAUCCUUUUCUGCUAAAAAAGCUUGGAUGGUAUCAAAAGAUGAAGAAAGUAAACCCCUAGUAUGUAGCAAUAACUCUAAAAUUAAUAAUGUUGAUCAUCUCAAAAAUAAGGCAAAAAUGACGAGAAGACCAAGAUGUGUAAAAGCCCAGCCAGGUUUUGUGCCCAACAAGAGAACAGGAAUUAUAAUCCGACCACAGUCAGCUGCCGAAGCCAACAAAAUGCUGGGAGCUCCAGGGACCUUGGUGGCACCUCACCCACCAUCCGCACCUCUGCCAGGACAGAGGCGUGGGACAAACACGGCCAGCCCUGCGUGCCAGCCACCGCUGCCUUCGCGUCUUCACGCUCCCGCUACAAGCAGGAACGAUUUAAAUGAAAGGCACGUUUUGUUAGCAGACCAGCUUUUAAAUAGAAGCGGCACAGAAAACAGCGAGGGUGCUUGUAGUUCGGGCUCGGCCACUGUGAUAUCUACACCUGGCUGCAGCACAGCCAAACGCGAACCUUGGGCAAAAAAUACUUGUUCUGUAAAUAGUGUUCAGACAAGAGCCUGUCAAGAUCAUCCAGUAACCUGCACUGAAAGAAGACCUGUUAAGGCAGAAAAUGGAUUACAUCUCCAUCAUAUCCCAGCAGCUGGGAAAACAAGCAUCUCCUGGCAAGGAGCACAUGCUGCCCGAGCUCCGAGGGGCUCUGCUACUGUUCAAAGUCAAACAGAUGAGCUUGAGAUAUGUGUGACUGAAGUUAACCCAUUUGAUUUUACAUUGGAAAUGAAUGAAGCCUUGCAUUACCGCGCCUCGCCUCCGGCAGAGAGACUUUGCUUCUUGAUGUCCUUAUUUGCACAUCAGAUCAAUGAAUCGGGAAAUUCGUGGUGCAAAGCUGUGUGCACUGGAAAUGCUGCAGCUUCCAAUGCUGCGUCCCCAGUGUCACACAGCUCCAGCUCUUGGAGAGGAACAGCUGAGUGACCCCUUUUUAAAAUUUGGGUGGGUGGCCCUCUCUCAGUAUCUGCUUAGCUUUUGUGUUUUGAAAGUCUUCUUUAACGCUCUCAGUAGCUCUUAAUGACUUGCUAUUAUUUGAUCUAUUGCCUGCAAAUGCACAUUAGAACACAGUCUUUGUCCUGAAGUGCUUGAGAUGAGAGAUUGAAUACCACAUUGUUCUUGAGUAAAAUAUCUGCUGUGGCACUAUUACAGAGCUCAGGGAUGUCUAUGAGGACCCUGUAGAAAAUGUGAUCUGUUGCAAUGCUUGGCCAAAUGUAUGCUAUUGAAAAAAUAAGUGUGAACAACAUGAAAAAUUAAAUUGUUGUCCAUAAGGAUCUUCCUUUACUUUGGCUUCUAGGCAUCAAGUGGUAUAUCUUAUGACUGACACGUAUUAUUCUCUGUAGCUGGAUAUUAGAAUUGUUUUAGGCCUUUUGGUGAUCAAUCAGUAAAAUGCUUUAGAAAUGUGUGUAACAUUUAGCCUGUGACACACACAGGGCUCAUUCACAGGCUUGUAGUUAAACAGGGGUGGACUGCUCAGGAUCUCAUGCCCUUAAAGAGACUACGACGUAUUACAUUUGUCUUAGAUUUCCCAAAGGAGUCAUUUCCUUGGCACAGAUAUAGCAUGCCUUGCAAACUAAUUAAAUUAAAUGUUGAUGCAUAUCAACAGAGCAACUUUGCAUUUUAUUUUUCAGAAAAACGUUAUUUGAUUACUAAUACAACAAGGUGGUUCUUCUUUGAUUCUUUUUAAAUUUGCCCUCAUAUUCUGUAUAAUAUGCUCAGAUUUCCUUUUCUCUUCAGGUGCUAUUCAGCACUAUGUGUCACAUUACAAUAAUUCACACACAACUAAAUGGCAACCUUUUAAAACUAAUGUGUCCCCUGUUCCUAUUGAUGGCAGCAGCCAGAUGAGUAGUUUCAAAUCUGCUUCUAGGAUGAAUGAAUUGUUUUAUUUUUCCAGAAAUGCUAAGAACUCUGCUUUGUGAAAUGUCACUGUAAUAGCAACUGAAUUUUAAAAAAUAUAUUUUAAAUUCAAUAAAAGACCUCUUGGUCUAAUCAUGAACAGUACAUUAAACUGCACAUGUAAAUAUUUUUUAUGCAAAUAGGUAAUUUAUCAUCUCAAGUAUAAAUCAAGUAACUACAUUUACAAAUCAAGUAGCUGCAUUUACAAACGAGAAUAUAAUAUCUCCUUGCAUGUGCAGAUUCCUGACCUGCACAUGAAAAUGCUGAUUUGCAUGUCCAGUUUGUAUACAUGAAAGUUUAAUUGGGAACUUAGAUUUCGAAACUUGAUACCUUAAUAUUGAAAAUGUUGUAUGCGUGAGACAAAACUGAGAUAAAGUUGAGAUACAGUGUCUGUGUUAGGCCUCUCUAGCUCAGGGAAGAUACAGCAGUACUGUCUUCAUUAAAAUUAGUAUACAGUUGUAUAAGUUACUAUAUUAGUUGUAUAAAUUAGUAAGAUUGAGUAUAAAAUUCCAAGCUGUAGAACUAAGGUUUUAACCCAUGAUUUUACGUUCACAUCACUCCUGUGAGCCCACACCUGGAGGACUGUGUCCAGUUUUGAGCUCCUCAGUACAAGAGAGACACGGACAAACUGGAGAGAGUCCGACAAAGUGCCACAAAGAUGAUGAAGGGACUGGAGCACCUCUCCUGUGAGGAAAGGCUGAGAGAGUUGGGACUGUUCAGCCUGGAGAAGAGAUGGCUCACGGGGGGAUCUCAUCGAGUACACAAAGAUGUGAAAGGAGGGUGCAAAGAGGAGGGAUCCAGGCUCUUCUCAGUGGUGCCCAGUGACAGGACCAGGGGCACUGGGCACAAACUGCAGCACAGGAGGUUCCUUUUGAACACCAGGAAACAGUUUUUUACUGUGAGAGUGACUGAGCACUGACACAGGUUGCUCAAGGAUUUUCUGGAGUCUCUCUCCUUGGAGACAUUUGAAAGCCAUCUGGACGUUGUCCUGGGUAACCAGCUCUAGAUGGUCCUACUUGAGCAGGUGGGUCGGACCAGGUGACCUCAACAAGUCCCUUCUAACCUCAGCUGUUCUGUGAAUUCAAUCAACCAUGUGAACUAUUACAUGUUUUCUGGAUGGCACAAAAUAUUCUUCAAGGUCGGGUAGGAUGAGGCAUCCUGAUCUAGUUGAAGAUGUCCCUGCUCAUUGCAGGGGGAUUGGACUAGGUGACCUUUAAUUGUCUAUUCCAACCCAAACUAUUUCAUCAUUCUAUGUGAUAUUCUUAACAAAUGUUGAAUCCUUUAAGGUAUAAGAUAAGGCAUCUUGGCAACAGACAUUUACUGUGUUGGACAAUUAGACUUUGGGAUUAUUCUCUAAAUGCAACUGAUUUUCUAAAACACUAUUUUUGGGCACAUUAUUUAGUAUUUCCUCUAUCAUAGUUUGCUGCCUGUUCAUUCUCCUUCUCACUUUGUAAGACAACCUUUUAUCUUUGUACAGGCCACUUUAUUAACUGGGAUUCACUUAACUUGCCUAUAAAUGUCUACAUACAAUCUACAUCUGGAUUUUAUAGUCCUAUCCCAACAUGAAAUUAAAUAUUACUUAGAAGUGCCAGUUUCUCUCUUUUCACUAUAAUAAAAUAGAUUUAGCAAGAUCAAAUGUAAAGAUACACAAGGCAAACAUUUAAAUUUGGACAGAGAAAUUUACUCACCAUUACUGGUUUUGGCAUUAGUAGCUUUGUCAUGUUUUCACACAUUUUUGGUUUAUUUUUGGAUGCAUCUCAUUUAAGGUGUUGUUCCUGUUACAAGACAAAAGCAGGUUUUUGACAGUGGUGAAAAUGAACACAUUUCAGAACACAGAAAGCAAAUUGUAGCCUCUAAAAGAUGGAAGCCUUGUCAUCAUACACAGCUGAAUCCUGUCCAAUCUGCAUUUGAUCCAG